rnacentral:lncRNA from 1 species
GUGGAAAGGGGCUUAAGUGGGCUCAGAAGACUAGGCUUUUGGUUUGAAAUCCAUAACGCCUGUUGAGACCUGUCUGCUGACUACUAGAGCUGAUCAUUCAUCCCUCCAGCCCCUCCCCCUCCCCACACCUAUUCUCCCCGCCUUCCGCUCCAGGGAGUCCACUUAUGCAGCUGCAAAGCUUCCUGCUCAGGCCGGCAGCCACAGCAAUUGUUUGCCUGCUGCACCAGGCCUAAACUCCCUGCAGAUGUUUAGCUCUACUGUGUAGGACGCCAGAGCCACCACAGGAAAACAUGGCCAGAUUUAAUACUGGGAUAAUAAAAAGAAAAAUCUCUUCCCUACUAUAGCCUUGGUUUUGAUACACAGUUGGCCAGGUGCAUGUCUUUAGGGCCUCCAUCACCUGCUGAAAAGCAGGGCUUAUAAUAAGCUCCAGCACAUUCCAUCAUGGAUAGGAAAACUGCUGUGAGUCCCAGAGAGUGAGGUUCAGGGCAGAGGGUCAUAGGAAAUGCUCACCUAAAUUCUGUAUGUCCAAUCAGCUUGGGGUUGGGGGUCUUGUGUUAUUAGAUGAAACUGUAGCCAAUGAGUUGAUCCUGUCGUAUUUGUAAUCUGAACAUUGCCCUGUACACAUGUGACACUGUCCCUCCUUUGCUAUUCUAAUCCAACAUGAUUCCAAGGACAUUAAAGAGUUUCAGCAAUUACUU